GACUAGCUCAGUUGGUUAGUGUGUGGAGCUGAUAACAGCAAGGCUGCAGGUUCGAUCCCCAUAAGAGACA